CUAAAGAAAGUGUGAGGAGAAGAACUGCUGUGGUGUGAAGACAUCAGGGCUGAGUGAAGUAAUUUCAAGAUUAAUAUAGGAGUUAGUGUUAAAAACAUUCUCAGGGUGACAGAGACUUUCAUAAAAGACGCUGGUGUGUCAGCAGGAAGCAGAGCUGAGAGAAUAGAAUUAAACAAGAAAUCAGUACUUCCAUACAACUUCACUGCUGUGCUUGAAUUUGGAGGAACAGUUUGACCCUGAGGAAUAGAUAAUUUGCUAAUAACACACAAAGAGUCUAAUUCAAUUCUCUCAUGUGGCAGCUUACACUCCCGGGUGCCCCGACCAAGCAAUUCCAUUGGUGCUCCAUUCGGGUGUGAUCAUCUGCCGGUACUGCAUUUCAGCUUGCUACCCACAAAGGUAUGGAGCAACAAGAGAGAAUCUCAGAUGAGGAGCUGACCAAGCAUCACCGUGGUUACCAGCCAGGGAGCCGUUUUGUCACUUCCGCAGGAAGUGACAUACCCGGAAGUUAGGGAGGCGGAGCCAGGUAUGCUGGGACUGUGGUGAUGUGCAGUGGGAAGUCUCCUUGGUGGGGAGGAGCCCCUGGAUGGAUGGACAGAUCACCCCUUUCAGAUACAGCAGAGAGAGCUCAACUUUUUCAGAUACAGCAGGCAGAGCACCCCUGGACUGAUAUGGCAGGACCAAUGGACUGAUACGGCAGACAGACCACACCUGGAAUGAUACUGCAGACUAAGCAGCACCCCUGAACUGAAACAGCAAAUCGGGCACCCCUGGACUGAUACGGCAGACAUAUCAGCACCCCUGGACUGCGGAACCGAACCUGCUCAUCC